rnacentral:RNase_P_RNA from 1 species
GGAUCGGGCGGUCGCGCCGCGCAGCGCCGAAAGGCAGCGCGGUGAGGAAAGUCCGGGCUUCAUACGGCAGGAUAACGGGUAACGCCCGCCGAAGGCGACUUCCGGGAAAGUGCAACAGAGAGAUACCGCCUGCUUUUGCAGGUAAGGGUGGAAAGGCGAGGUAAGAGCUCACCGACCGUCUUGGCAACAAGGCGGCCCUGUAAACCCUAUCCGAAGCAACACCGCAAAAAAGCGCAAAGGUCUGCCCGACCGCUUAGAGGUGGCAAGAGGCGCGCGGUAACGCGCGUCCCAGAUAGAUGACCGCCGGGGGAUCUUCCCCUGACAGAACCCGGCUUACAGAUUCA